AGUUCAGUUCAGUUCAGUUCAGUUCAGUUCAGUUCAGUUCAGUUCUCGCUGAUAGUUUCCAUCCGAUCCACAAACAGGGACGGUUUUUUAAAUCAUGACAUCAUUAGUUGACAUCUUUAGUGCAGUUGAAAGAAACAUGAAGCAGGCAGUCUUUAGGGAAGAACAAAACUCUGACAGCUUUAGAAUAGGGUUUAGAGAUGGGGGUGCAUAGGGGGAGGCAAACGUCACCCAUACUCCUGUUUAUGACUGUGAUGUUAAAGGAGACAUCAGGGCUAUUGCUGUGGCUUUGGUCUGAGUCUAGGGGGCGCUGUCCUCCUCUGUUUUCACAGACAGGCACCACAUUUAAAAAGGGAUUCAGGUUUUUUUUUUCCCCCUUGAGUCAACUUCAAGAUUCCCUUUUUCCUACAUUUACUAAGGCUACACACACACUAAUACAUUUUUGUUUUAAAACCAUAUCCACACAAGCAUUUUUCAUAAAUAUUCUGCAUAAAUGUGUGACGUAUGAGUAGAGGAGCCAACGGCAAC